rnacentral:tRNA from 1 species
GCCCCGGUGGUGUAGCCAGGAUAGCAUAGAGGGCUGCGGACCCUCAGACAGGGGUUCAAAUCCCCUCCGGGGCA